UUAAUGACCUAUCCCCUGCAUCUUCUUUGCAGGGUGAUAGCCAUGUGAAAUCAUUUUCUGAGAAAGCAAAAGUAGAAAGCAAAAGGAGAAAGCCAAUGAGCUGGAAAUGCAAGUGCGGGAGAUCAUUGCAAGCAUCCAAUGCAGUCUCCUCAGAUUCCAUGGGCAUCGACCACCAGUAAAGCAAAAGCAACAAAGGUGCAAAAGCAAAAAAAAAAAGGAAAUGGCAUUAUUCCCUUGUCUGUCAUUUGCCAGAAGAAAGAAAAAUAAAGAGAAAGGAAAAGGUAAAACGUUCAGUAGGCACAAUACGCACAUGGAAAAAGAUCUGCAACAACCCAGUACGCAGUAAGUGCAGUACGCACCAACGAUCUGCAACUGUCGAAGCUUUUGUGUCGAAACCUUUGUUUUGAAUGAUGUAAUUUAUUUUUCUCAUCUCUCGCAGACAUCUGUAUAACCCAAUCAGAGGGUAAUAAAAAAAUAUAAAAAAUUAAAAAAAAAAAAAAAAAGGGCAAGCCCAAAAUAAUGGGCUGGAAUGUUAUGUGGAGGGCCAAAGCCCAUAUGCCCAAAAGAGUCAGUCUCUCUAUUAUCACUAACCAGGUGAUCAAAAGUACGU
rnacentral:lncRNA from 1 species